CCAAGACUCAGCUUCUCCACUCUAAGUCUCGCCUCCGUCUGUUCGUGAAUUUGCCUUGUGCUGUGAUGGCUUCAUAGGCCAGGACCCAAGGCAGAGAUGCUGGUAAUGGUUCCUUCCCUGCUCCCUACAACCAAGAGCGACAGAGUGAUGUAAUUUGCCCUUCUGUAAGCUGGGAAGACUGGGAUCCUCAGAGGAAACUCACCUGCACAUCCCUCCCUGAUCGCCACCAUGAGAAACAACAUGAUCCGCAUCGUGAUCAUUGUGAUCUAAAGAAAAGCAAGAUUAAAGUCACUAUCCUGACCAUCUUCUUCUCUAUGUCCAUGGCUCCACUCCUCUCUAGUCCUAUAAAGACUCAAAAGCCCCUUUCCUUUUCAUAAACUCUACACAUCUCUGGGACCUAAAACAGACCUGAGCUGAAAUUAAUGCUCCCCAAUGUCCACAGAUGGCCACCCUCUUUUCUCCUCACCAGGCCAGGAGAUGAGAAUUUCUAUCUGAAUGGAGCCUGUGCACUUCCUCUACAGGGACUCCUGACAAGGAGCUAGGCCUGGAGCCCUUUAGGAAGAAAUCCCAGACACUACCCAGGCCGCUCC
rnacentral:lncRNA from 1 species